rnacentral:rRNA from 1 species
CACGUAGGGGACGAGCGUUGUCCGGAUUCAUUGGGCGUAAAGCGCGCGUAGGCGGCUCGGAAAGUCGGUCGUGAAAUGCCGGGGCUCAACCCCGGGACUGCGUCCGAUACUCCCGAGCUGGAGGCAGGUAGGGGAGAUCGGAAUUCCUGGUGUAGCGGUGAAAUGCGCAGAUAUCAGGAGGAACACCGGUGGCGAAGGCGGAUCUCUGGGACGGUACUGACGCUGAGACGCGAAAGCGUGGGGAGCGAACAGG